GAUGAACGCUGGCGGCGUGCCUAAUACAUGCAAGUCGAGCGAACAGACGAGGAGCUUGCUCCUCUGACGUUAGCGGCGGACGGGUGAGUAACACGUGGAUAACCUACCUAUAAGACUGGGAUAACUUCGGGAAACCGGAGCUAAUACCGGAUAAUAUCUUGAACCGCAUGGUUCAAGAGUGAAAGAUGGAUUUGCUGUAACUUAUAGAGAGAUCCCCGCCGAAUUAGUUAGUUGGUAAGGUAAGGGCCUACCAAGGGAAGCAUGAGUAGCCACCCUGAAAGGGUUAUCGGCCCCCCUGGAACUGAGCCACGGUCCAGCCUCCUACGGGAGGCACCGUAAGGGAAUCUUCGGCAUGGGGCGAAAGCUUGACGGAGCACCGCCGCGUGAGGGAUGAAGGUCUUCGGUUCGUAAACCCCUGUUAUUAGGGAAGAACAAAUGUGUAAGUAACUAUGCACGUCUUGACGGUACCUACUCAGAAAGCCACGGCUAACUACGUG
rnacentral:rRNA from 1 species